GAUGAACGCUGGCGGCGUGCCUAAUACAUGCCAGUCGAGCGAACAGACGAGGAGCUUGCUCCUCUGACGUUAGCGGCGGACGGGUGAGUAACACGUGGAUAACCUACCUAUAAGACUGGGAUAACUUCGGGAAACCGGAGCUAAUACCGGAUAAUAUAUUGAACCGCAUGGUUCAAUAGUGAAAGACGGUUUUGCUGUCACUUAUAGAUGGAUCCGCGCCGCAUUAGCUAGUUGGUAAGGUAACGGCUUACCAAGGCAACGAUGCGUAGCCGACCUGAGAGGGUGAUCGGCCACACUGGAACUGAGACACGGUCCAGACUCCUACGGGAGGCAGCAGUAGGGAAUCCUCCGCAAUGGGCGAAAGCCUGACGGAGCAACGCCGCGUGAGUGAUGAAGGUCUUCGGAUCGUAAAACUCUGUUAUUAGGGAAGAACAAAUGUGUAAGUAACUAUGCACGUCUUGACGGUACCUAAUCAGAAAGCCACGGCUAACUACGUG
rnacentral:rRNA from 1 species